rnacentral:rRNA from 1 species
GACGAACGUUGGCGGCGUGCUUAACACAUGCAAGUCGAACGGAAAGGCCCUGCUUUUGUGGGGUGCUCGAGUGGCGAACGGGUGAGUAACACGUGAGUAACCUGCCCUUGACUUUGGGAUAACUUCAGGAAACUGGGGCUAAUACCGGAUAGGAGCUCCUGCUGCAUGGUGGGGGUCGGAAAGUUUCGGCGGUUGGGGAUGGACUCGCGGCUUAUCAGCUUGUUGGUGGGGUAGUGGCUUACCAAGGCUUUGACGGGUAGCCGGCCUGAGAGGGUGACCGGCCACAUUGGGACUGAGAUACGGCCCAGACUCCUACGGGAGGCAGCAGUGGGGAAUAUUGCACAAUGGGCGGAAGCCUGAUGCAGCAACGCCGCGUGCGGGAUGACGGCCUUCGGGUUGUAAACCGCUUUCGCCUGUGACGAAGCGUGAGUGACGGUAAUGGGUAAAGAAGCACCGGCUAACUACGUGCCAGCAGCCGCGGUGAUACGUAGGGUGCGAGCGUUGUCCGGAUUUAUUGGGCGUAAAGGGCUCGUAGGUGGUUGAUCGCGUCGGAAGUGUAAUCUUGGGGCUUAACCCUGAGCGUGCUUUCGAUACGGGUUGACUUGAGGAAGGUAGGGGAGAAUGGAAUUCCUGGUGGAGCGGUGGAAUGCGCAGAUAUCAGGAGGAACACCAGUGGCGAAGGCGGUUCUCUGGGCCUUUCCUGACGCUGAGGAGCGAAAGCGUGGGGAGCGAACAGGCUUAGAUACCCUGGUAGUCCACGCUGUAAACGGUGGGUACUAGGUGUGGGGUCCAUUCCACGGGUUCCGUGCCGUAGCUAACGCUUUAAGUACCCCGCCUGGGGAGUACGGCCGCAAGGCUAAAACUCAAAGGAAUUGACGGGGCCCCGCACAAGCGGCGGAGCAUGCGGAUUAAUUCGAUGCAACGCGUAGAACCUUACCUGGGUUUGACAUGGAUCGGGAGUGCUCAGAGAUGGGUGUGCCUCUUUUGGGGUCGGUUCACAGGUGGUGCAUGCCUGUCGUCAGCUCGUGUCGUGAGAUGUUGGGUUAAGUCCCGCAACGAGCGCAACCCUUGUUCACUGUUGCCAGCACGUUAUGGUGGGGACUCAGUGGAGACCGCCGGGGUCAACUCGGAGGAAGGUGGGGAUGACGUCAAGUCAUCAUGCCCCUUAUGUCCAGGGCUUCACGCAUGCUACAAUGGCUGGUACAGAGAGUGGCGAGCCUGUGAGGGUGAGCGAAUCUCGGAAAGCCGGUCUCAGUUCGGAUUGGGGUCUGCAACUCGACCUCAUGAAGUCGGAGUCGCUAGUAAUCGCAGAACAGCAACGCUGCGGUGAAUACGUUCCCGGGGCC